rnacentral:misc_RNA from 1 species
CGAUAAGCCACCAAACAACUUGCUAACACUUAAAAGCCUGAAACCCCAAAGCUCCACAGGCUAACUGCAACUAGCCAGAAAACCAAGAAAAUUAAUCGAGAGCAAUGACAACCACAAGAUUCUUACGUUCUUCUAGGCCUCUUCCUCAUGCUCCUCCUCCUGGUUCAACUUCUUCAUCUGUUUCGACGGUGAAAUGCAUCGGCAAAAAUACAUCUGGGUCGUUGGGCGGAGAGAAGAUGGUUUCAAGAGAUGGUGAUAAAAGGAGAUCAACGGCGGCUGCUGUGAAAGCGUCAGUAGCUGUUAGGGAGAGUUUGAUCAUUGCAGAGCCACGGGUUGAUGAGGGAAUAGAUUUGGCUUCUUUGUUUACAACUGUUGGUAAUGCUUUGUUUAAGUUUUUGAGACCUGCUGUUAAACGCAAGCCGUGGAAAAUACAGGUCCAGACGCUCAUUGAAAAGGCUAUAAUUGAUUGCCGGUUCUUUACUUUAUUUGCCACUGUGGGAGCAUUGCUUAGUUCAGUGUUGUGUUUUAUGGAGGGUUGCUUUCUCAUUCUGAAGUCCUACUUUCACUAUUUUGGUACGUUAUCUCAUAGUUCAGAUCAAGGAGAAGCUGGAGAAAUUGUGCAGCUACUUAUAGAAGCCAUUGACAUGUUCUUGGUAGGGACAGCAAUGCUUAUUUUUGGGGUAGGGUUGCAUGCCAUCUUUGUGGGAUCUAAGAAUUUGAAACAAAACGCACUGCUGCCAGGAUCAAGCCUUUUUGGGCUCUUCUUUUUGAAGUCUCUUCCAACAUGGGUGCAGAUGGAAUCAGUUUCCCAAGCCAAAUCUAGAAUUGGCCAUGCAGUCAUCAUGAUACUUCAAGUGGGAUUGUUGGAGAAAUUCAAGAAAAUACCUUUGGUUACUAGUUUGGAUUUUGCUUGUUUUGCUGGAGCUGUGCUGAUUUCCUCAGCUUGUAUAUUCAUUCUCUCAAAACUUUCUCUUGGUGGUAUUGCGAGAGAAGGCAGGUAGCAGAGGACGAAGAUUAUACGUACAAUGCAUAUAUAUUUGCCAAAUGACGGCCAAGAAGGAAUCAAACCUUAUUCUUUUGUUGGUCAUACAUCCUUUUUGUAUAUUCUACUGCAUACUUAUACAAUAGAAAUAAAAAUCCUAUUCCUAUUUCACCCAAAUUGAGGAAUGGAUACCAACAUUUGGAUUCCAUGUUCAAGCCUUCUGUAUCAAGAAGAACAAGAAGGAGAAAUGCCUCUUUAGUCUCUGAUUUUUGCAGUUUUGAAUAGUAGCAAGAAG